UUGAAGGUGAAGUCGUAACAAGGUCUCCGUAGGUGAACCUGCGGAGGGAUCAUUAUAAGUUCACCCAGGCUUGUACAGCUGGGGACUGACAACCCUUUGAUUUCCGACUCUGUUGCCUCCGGGGCGACCUUGCCUUCGGGCGGGGGCUCCGGGUGGACACUUCAAACUCUUGCGUAACUUUGCAGUCUGAGUAAACUUAAUUAAUAAAUUAAAACUUUUAACAACGGAUCUCUUGGUUCUGGCAUCGAUGAAGAACGCAGCGAAAUGCGAUAAGUAAUGUGAUUGCAGAAUUCAGUGAAUCAUCGAAUCUUUGAACGCACAUUGCGCCCCCUGGUAUUCCGGGGGGCAUGCCUGUUCGAGCGUCAUUUCACCACUCAAGCCUCGCUUGGUAUUGGGCAACGCGGUCCGCCGCGUGCCUCAAAUCGUCCGGCUGGGUCUUCUGUCCCCUAAGCGUUGUGGAAACUAUUCGCUAAAGGGUGUUCGGGAGGCUACGCCGUAAAACAACCCCAUAACUAAGGUGACCUCGAUCAGUAUGAUCCAUC
rnacentral:rRNA from 1 species